rnacentral:rRNA from 1 species
CGGGACACGUGGUAUCCUGUCUGAAUAUGGGGGGACCAUCCUCCAAGGCUAAAUACUCCUGACUGACCGAUAGUGAACCAGUACCGUGAGGGAAAGGCGAAAAGAACCCCGGCGAGGGGAGUGAAAAAGAACCUGAAACCGUGUACGUACAAGCAGUGGGAGCACGCUUAGGCGUGUGACUGCGUACCUUUUGUAUAAUGGGUCAGCGACUUAUAUUCUGUAGCAAGGUUAACCGAAUAGGGGAGCCGAAGGGAAACCGAGUCUUAACUGGGCGUUAAGUUGCAGGGUAUAGACCCGAAACCCGGUGAUCUAGCCAUGGGCAGGUUGAAGGUUGGGUAACACUAACUGGAGGACCGAACCGACUAAUGUUGAAAAAUUAGCGGAUGACUUGUGGCUGGGGGUGAAAGGCCAAUCAAACCGGGAGAUAGCUGGUUCUCCCCGAAAGCUAUUUAGGUAGCGCCUCGUGAAUUCAUCUCCGGGGGUAGAGCACUGUUUCGGCAAGGGGGUCAUCCCGACUUACCAACCCGAUGCAAACUGCGAAUACCGGAGAAUGUUAUCACGGGAGACACACGGCGGGUGCUAACGUCCGUCGUGAAGAGGGAAACAACCCAGACCGCCAGCUAAGGUCCCAAAGUCAUGGUUAAGUGGGAAACGAUGUGGGAAGGCCCAGACAGCCAGGAUGUUGGCUUAGAAGCAGCCAUCAUUUAAAGAAAGCGUAAUAGCUCACUGGUCGAGUCGGCCUGCGCGGAAGAUGUAACGGGGCUAAACCAUGCACCGAAGCUGCGGCAGCGACGCUUAUGCGUUGUUGGGUAGGGGAGCGUUCUGUAAGCCUGUGAAGGUGUACUGUGAGGUAUGCUGGAGGUAUCAGAAGUGCGAAUGCUGACAUAAGUAACGAUAAAGCGGGUGAAAAGCCCGCUCGCCGGAAGACCAAGGGUUCCUGUCCAACGUUAAUCGGGGCAGGGUGAGUCGACCCCUAAGGCGAGGCCGAAAGGCGUAGUCGAUGGGAAACAGGUUAAUAUUCCUGUACUUGGUGUUACUGCGAAGGGGGGACGGAGAAGGCUAUGUUGGCCGGGCGACGGUUGUCCCGGUUUAAGCGUGUAGGCUGGUUUUCCAGGCAAAUCCGGAAAACUAAGGCUGAGGCGUGAUGACGAGGCACUACGGUGCUGAAGCAACAAAUGCCCUGCUUCCAGGAAAAGCCUCUAAGCAUCAGGUAACAUCAAAUCGUACCCCAAACCGACACAGGUGGUCAGGUAGAGAAUACCAAGGCGCUUGAGAGAACUCGGGUGAAGGAACUAGGCAAAAUGGUGCCGUAACUUCGGGAGAAGGCACGCUGA